rnacentral:misc_RNA from 1 species
GAUGAAGAACGUAGCGAAAUGCGAUAAGUAAUGCGAAUUGCAGAAUUCAGUGAGUCAUCGAAUCUUUGAACGCACAUUGCGCCCUGUGGUAUUCCGCAGGGCAUGCCUGUUCGAGCGUCAUUACAACCCUCAAGCUCUGCUUGGUGUUGGGCCCCGCCGCCCCGGCGGGCCCUAAAGUCAGUGGCGGUGCCGUCCGGCUCCGAGCGUAGUAAUUUUUCUCGCUUUGGAGGCCCGGGCGCGUGCUUGCCAUCAACCCCCAAUUUUUUUCAGGUUGACCUCGGAUCAGGUAGGGAUACCCGCUGAACUUAAGCAUAUCAAUAAGCGGAGGA